rnacentral:lncRNA from 1 species
AUUUUCUGACGCUUUUUUGAGAAUAGGAACUUGUAGAGUCACCAUGCCUAGGUGUGCUAGUUGGAGGGUAAGGUUUUCACCUCAGGAAAGGGAAGAACUGGAACAGGGAGUAAAAGGAGGCCUCCAGGUUUAGCCACUCUGUUAACACUUACAGACAAGAUGAAAGUAUACCUAGAGGGACCUGUUUUCCUAACUGAUGUUAGAAAACUGAUGUGUCAUUUGAGCUAACCUCAGAAUCAAAACUUUGGCAUAAUUCUGGAGAAUGUGGUCACCAGAAAGCACAGAUGUUACUCUGGGACUACCACAUUGUGAAGGAAUUAUAACUGAUUUCUAAGACUUCAAAUUCUUAAUUGUUGGCCACUUGGCUUUACAAUGUGAAAAAGAACAUAUACAAAUAGGAUGACACACUGAAUGUCAGAUUUACGGUGUAUGUCAAGAAAAGAGCACAAACAAGUGGCAGUACCGUUUAUUCUCAAGCAAAAAUAUCUAAAGACAAACAUUCUCUGAAAUGCUGAAAUUACAUAACAUGAAUAGUGUAGAUUUUUAUUUACUUUCUGCCUAACUCAAAAAAGAUACACAAAAUGACUUUGAAAAUAAUUCUUUUAAAGCUCCUCAAAAGAAACAAUGUAAAUCCAAACCUGUGACAACAAAAAUGGAAUGUUUGUUUAAAAGAAAAGGUGUAGGAGGCCUAGCACGGUGGCUCACGUUUAUAUUCCCAGCACUCUGGGAGGCCGA